rnacentral:rRNA from 1 species
AUUGAACGCUGGCGGAAUGCUUUACACAUGCAAGUCGAACGGCAGCACGGACUUCGGUCUGGUGGCGAGUGGCGAACGGGUGAGUAAUGUAUCGGAACGUGCCCAGUCGUGGGGGAUAACGUAGUGAAAAUUACGCUAACACCGCAUACGAUCUAUGGAUGAAAGCGGGGAUCGCAAGACCUCGCGCGAUUGGAGCGGCCGAUAUCAGAUUAGGUAGUUGGUGGGGUAAAGGCCCACCAAGCCAACGAUCUGUAGCUGGUCUGAGAGGACGACCAGCCACACUGGAACUGAGACACGGUCCAGACUCCUACGGGAGGCAGCAGUGGGGAAUUUUGGACAAUGGGCGAAAGCCUGAUCCAGCCAUUCCGCGUGCAGGAUGAAGGCCCUCGGGUUGUAAACUGCUUUUGUACAGAACGAAAAGGUUUCUACUAAUACUAGGAGCUCAUGACGGUACUGUAAGAAUAAGCACCGGCUAACCACGUGCCAGCCGCCGCCGUAA